rnacentral:rRNA from 4 species
AAAAUUAGAGUGUUCAAAGCAGGCAGAUCCAAUUUUCUGCCACCGAAUACAUUAGCAUGGGAUAAUGGAAUAGGACCCUGUCCUCCUAUUUUCAGUUGGUUUUGGCAGCGCGAGGACUAGGGUAAUGAUUAAUAGGGAUAGUUGGGGGCAUUAAUAUUUAAUUGUCAGAGGUGAAAUUCUUGGAUUUAUGAAAGAUUAACUUCUGCGAAAGCAUCUGCCAAGGAUGUUUUCAUUAAUCAAGAACGAAAGUUAGGGGAUCGAAGACGAUCAGAUACCGUCGUAGUCUUAACCAUAAACGAUGCCGACCAGCGAUUAGGAGACGUUGAAUACAAAACACCACCAUCGGUUGCGGUCAUCCUUGGCGUCUCGGUUUCGGCCGGGGCGCGGGGAUGGCUUAGCCCGGUGGCACCGGUGAA